GUAGGUGGCAAGCGUUGUCCGGAAUUAUUGGGCGUAAAGCGCGCGCAGGUGGUUCUUUAAGUCUGAUGUGAAAGCCCCCGGGCUCAACCGGGGAGGGUCAUUGGAAACUGGGAACUUGAGUGCAGGAGAGGAAAGUGGAAUUCCACGUGUAGCGGUGAAAUGCGUAGAUAUGUGGAGGAACACCAGUGGCGAAGGCGACUUUCUGGCCUGUAACUGACACUGAGGCGCGAAAGCGUGGGGAGCAAACAGGAUUAGAUACCCUGGUAGUCCACGCCGUAAACGAUGAGUGCUAAGUGUUGGGGGGUUUCCGCCCCUCAGUGCUGCAGCUAACGCAUUAAGCACUCCGCCUGGGGAGUACGGUCGCAAAGACUG
rnacentral:rRNA from 1 species